AUUGAACGCUGGCGGCAUGUUUUACACAUGCAAGUCGAACGGCAGCGCGGGCUUCGGCCUGGCGGCGAGUGGCGAACGGGUGAGUAAUGCAUCGGAACGUGCCCAGUAGUGGGGGAUAGCCCGGCGAAAGCCGGAUUAAUACCGCAUACGACCUGAGGGUGAAAGCGGGGGACCGAAAGGCCUCGCGCUAUUGGAGCGGCCGAUGUCGGAUUAGCUAGUUGGUGGGGUAAAGGCUUACCAAGGCGACGAUCCGUAGCUGGUCUGAGAAGACGACCAGCCACACUGGGACUGAGACACGGCCCAGACUCCUACGGGAGGCAGCAGUGGGGAAUUUUGGACAAUGGGGGCAACCCUGAUCCAGCCAUGCCGCGUGCGGGAAGAAGGCCUUCGGGUUGUAAACCGCUUUUGUUCGGGAAGAAAUCCUCUGGGCUAAUACCCCGGGGGGAUGACGGUACCGGAAGAAUAAGCACCGGCUAACUACGUG
rnacentral:rRNA from 1 species